rnacentral:lncRNA from 1 species
CAAAAUCCAUAACAUGUUAGCAGGACUUAUCUAGCUGCCUCCACAGAAUAGCCAAGCAACUCUACACCCGCUUUAGCCCCCACAAAAACAAGCGGAUUGCACUACAAAUAAUUUGCCUAUUUGGAAAAUGAAAGCUUCUCUGUAGUUUGAGGUCCUAUUUUUUCUUUAAGUUGUUACAGUCUUUUCAUGGUCCUUGAGGUCUAGGUUAGGUUUUUGUUUGGGGUAAUUUUUGUAUCCUAUGGAUACUAUUUAAUCUUUAGUAUUGAGUCAGUAUUUCUCACUUAGGCCUUAGGGGAAUACUGCCUGAAGUAUGUAGGGGGCAUGCGGAAUUCAGACGUGGCUUGGAAACUGCACCAUGGGUUCACCCAAGAAACAGACCAGAGGCAACACAUUCUAUCACUAAAACGUGUUCUCAGUUACACUUCCCUUCCAAAGCAGGAUUAUUUGUGCCCAUGAGGGAAACACGAAGGAUUGUCAGUAUUCAUUUGCUAUCAGAACUGCCUUUGAACUUCAGGGAAGCCGCCAUCUUGUUUUAGUUCACUCCUCUAAAGCACAGUGUCUGCAACAUGAAACACUAGUAAGACACAGUUAUCCAGAAAGAGCCCUAGAGAUGGAUAAGGAACCUGUUGGAAUGCUCUGAUAUUAAGAAAAAAAAAAUUAAAUUCAAAACCAAAAACAAGUCACAAGAUGUAGACAGAGGGCUGACACAAGACUGUUGUGGCCACUGGUGAGCAGUGAGAAAGAUGUCUCCGUCAAUGACUU